CUGCUGUAAGAGAUUUCUUUUAGAAAUAAGCAGUUCCUUUGUGUCGUAUUUCCGUGUUAAUUGUAUCUUUAUAUCUCAUAUGUACUAUCAGAGAAGUUGA